AAGAAACCAACAGGGAUUGCCCCAGUAGCGGCGAGUGAAGCGGCAAGAGCUCAGAUUUGAAAUCGUGUUUCGGCACGAGUUGUAGAGUGUAGGCGGGAGUCUCUGUGGAGCGCGGUGUCCAAGUCCCUUGGAACAGGGUGCCUGAGAGGGUGAGAGCCCCGUAGGGUGCUGCGCGAAGCUUUUGAGGCCCUGCUGACGAGUCGAGUUGUUUGGGAAUGCAGCUCCAAGCGGGUGGUAAAUUCCAUCUAAGGCUAAAUAUUGGCGAGAGACCGAUAGCGAACAAGUACUGUGAAGGAAAGAUGAAAAGCACUUUGAAAAGAGAGUGAAACAGCACGUGAAAUUGUUGAAAGGGAAGGGUAUUGGGCUCGACAUGGGGGGUGCGCACCGCUGUCUCUUGUAGGCGGCGCUCUGGGCGCCCUCUGGGCCAGCAUCGGUUCCUGCUGCGGGAGAAGGGGCUCCGGAGAGUGGCUCUUCGGAGUGUUAUAGCCGGGGCCAGAUGCCGCGUGUGGGGACCGAGGACUGCGGCUUCUGUCUCGGAUGCUGGCAUAACGGCGCAAUACCGCCCGUCUUGAAACACGGACC
rnacentral:rRNA from 1 species